UUUUUUUUUUCUCAGCUCUAACUAUAACUUUAGUCAACAUAAAAAGAUGUUAAAAUGUGUCCCACUGGUUCAUUCAACUGUUAGUAGAAAAAAGUGGCUUAAAAUUGUGAAGCCUGAAAGUAUAGCCAUUCUAAUUUACAGACAACAAAGGCAAGUCCUAGGAAGAAAAGUGAUCAUUCAAGGGCAUCCAUCCAUUCAGAGAUCAAUCAAUGUCACUGUUUUCAAAUCUGCCUGAUCAUCAAUAUUUUGCUUUGUUUUGUUUUACUUUAUUAAUGGCUCUGGAGUCCCCAUUCCUACCCCUGGAAAUUUUGCUUUAGUGAUUAUGGGGUGAGAUCAGAAAUUUCAUUUUUUAAAAGAGAUCCUCAAUAUCCUAAGGAAACACAGAUCAUACCAGACUACUUAGGAAACAGUGGUGGAGAGGAACAGAUAGGUUGCACAGUCCUUGGGCAGGCUCUCCACUGUCACACAACAGCAUUUUCCUAACAUGUCCGUCAUUUUAUGACCCAGGGUUCCACUUUCCUGGUGUUUUCUCCCCUCUAGCUGGAAAGCAUAUUAUAAGAGUGAUAUUACUUGGUGUCUAGUUUACUUUCCUUUGAUACUCCUGUGGAAAAGGAUCUUCCUGAAGGAAAUAAGAAUUAAAAGAGUAGAUUUACAGACCUUAGUUAUCACCCAAUCCAAAUCACUCUAGAUCUUUAAUUCCAUUUAAGUUCCGAAACUGUCCUUACAGUAAAGUAUGAAUCUAGACAUCACCAUGCUACAGUCUUGAGCCUUUCAAGGAAGUCUGCAAUUUGAAAAUUAUUUUCUUUACCUCAGGUCAUGGGGUACAACGAAGUGAAUUUCUCUAAAUGGUUCAAAUACAUCAUAAGGAGAUGGCUCUUGGAAUACGUUUGGCAUAAGAAGUUCUUAGUAAAAGAAAAGCUUAAAUAGAAUUAAUAUCUAAUAACAUAACAUAAUUGGUUUUACAUAGUGACAGUAGAGAGCAAAGUUCCUUCUAAAAUCUUCCAUUUAGAAUUCCAAGCCCCUCAACAUUCAUAUUUCUGUCAGUUUUCAAUAUAGAUUUUAUGUGUUCGCUGUAUGCAAACUGUAGCCAAAAUAUACAUUUCUAUUCCUGAUGCUACUGUGGAUGUCAAGGUUUAGUUUAAGCCUUUUUUUGUAGCAAAUUAUGAGAAGUAUAAUUCAGCUCUCAAUGAAAUAUUAUUCCUGAUCUUCCUUGUUAGUAAAAAAGUAAAUUAUUAGUUUGUUAUCUAUUAAUUUUAAGGAAAAGUUUAGAAAAAAGAAGAAAAUAAUAAAUGACUUACCUCUAAGUAUGUAUGACUCCAUGUUAAAGCAGCUAAACUAAAAGCUUACCACAACUUUAAGAAAAACUAAAAUUCAACAUAAUUCAGUUUCUUUUUGCAUCCCAUUUAGGAAAUGUUUGUCACUGAGGCUGACAAAAUAAAUUCAUUAUUUAGUCAUGUCAUUUAUAAUGCAGUCUCAUGAUACUGUCUCUGAGGAUCAAAUGUUCAGUUAAAGCCAUACUAGACUACCAAAUAA
rnacentral:lncRNA from 1 species